rnacentral:rRNA from 1 species
AAUAAUAACUAAUCGUAUCGCAUGCUUAGGUAGCGAUAUGUCUUUCAAGUUUUUGCCCUAUCAGCUUUGGAUGGUAGUGUAUUGGACUACCAUGGCAGUAACGGGUAACGAAGAAUUUGGGUUCGAUUUCGGAGAGGGAGCCUGAGAGAUGGCUACCACAUCCAAGGAAGGCAGCAGGCGCGUAAAUUACCCAAUCAUGACAUAGGGAGGUAGUGACAAUAAAUCACAAUGCGGAACUAUUAGUUUUGCAAUUGGAUUGAGAACAAUGUACAAAUGUUAUC